rnacentral:rRNA from 1 species
CCUACGGGAGGCAGCAGUGAGGAAUAUUGGUCAAUGGCCGUAAGGCUGAACCAGCCAAGUCGCGUGAAGGAAGAAGGAUCUAUGGUUUGUAAACUUCUUUUAUAGGGGAAUAAAGGUAUCCACGUGUGGAUAUUUGCAUGUACCCUAUGAAUAAGCAUCGGCUAACUCCGUGCCAGCAGCCGCGGUAAUACGGAGGAUGCGAGCGUUAUCCGGAUUUAUUGGGUUUAAAGGGUGCGUAGGUUGUUUUUUAAGUCAGCGGUGAAAUUUUGUGGCUCAACCAUAGAAUUGCCGUUGAAACUGGCAGACUUGAGGGUGUUUGAGGUAGGCGGAAUGCGUGGUGUAGCGGUGAAAUGCAUAGAUAUCACGAAGAACUCCGAUUGCGAAGGCAGCUUACGAAGCCAUAACUGACACUGAAGCACGAAAGCGUGGGGAUCAAACAGGAUUAGAUACCCGAGUAGUC